rnacentral:rRNA from 1 species
GACGUAGGGUGCGAGCGUUGUCCGGAAUUAUUGGGCGUAAAGCGCUCGUAGGCGGUGUGUCGCGUCGGCCGUGAAAACCUGCAGCUUAACUGUGGGCUUGCGGUCGAUACGGGCAUCACUGGAGUUCGGCAGGGGAGACUGGAAUUCCUGGUGUAGCGGUGAAAUGCGCAGAUAUCAGGAGGAACACCGGUGGCGAAGGCGGGUCUCUGGGCCGAUACUGACGCUGAGGAGCGAAAGCGUGGGGAGCGAACAGG